rnacentral:rRNA from 1 species
AUUGAACGCUGGCGGCAGGCCUAACACAUGCAAGUCGAGCGAGCGGCUGACGGGUGAGUAAUGUCUGGGAAACUGCCUGAUGGAGGGGGAUAACUACUGGAAACGGUAGCUAAUACCGCAUACCAUCAGAUGUGCCCAGAGGGGAUUAGCUAGUAGGUGGGCUAACGCAUCACCUAGGCGACGAUCCCUAGCUGGUCUGCGAGGAUGACCGGCCACACUGGAACUGAGACACGGGCCAGACUCCUACGGGAGGCAGCAGUGGGGAAUAUUGCAGAAUGGGCGCAAGCCUGAUGCAGCCAUGCCGCGUGUAUGAAGAAGGCCUUCGGGUUGUAAAGUACUUUCAGCGGGGAGGCGUUACCCGCAGAAGAAGCACCGGCUAACUCCGUGCCAGCAGCCGCGGUAAUAC